CAUUGCAGCUCAUGGGUCAGCCUUCAUUCAGACAGCAAGAGAAGCAAGCUGGAAUUCAUUGCCCAGCAAACAGACUUUAUAAAUACAGAAAUCAGCCGUCUGUAAGGAGUGUGCUGCCCUCUUGGCUUGAUGUGAAGGUCACUGUAGGUGGGCAGGAUGACUCCAGUGUUGCUUUUUGCCUCUGCACAUCUUGGUGGGGAAGAUCUGGAGUAAAAGAAGUGACUUUUGUAGCACUGAGAAAUCUCCUGGUGUGACAGGGUGCGGGAAAUGCAGCGCUGUACAACACCCGUGGGGAGAAUUGCUUCACUGCCUCUGCUAACUUGCACUCCUGUAAAACAGCAGAAAUCCUUUGGAUGCUGGGAGGAACUGGGAGAAGGUGGCAGCACUCCUCGGUGGCUGGGAGGUUUGGGCAGGUUCCUGUUUUCCAUCUGUGCAGCCCAGUCUAAAUGGAGCUAUUAACUCAAAAACAAACAAACAAAAGCCUCAAAACUGAUUCAAGUAGAUUUCAGGGAAUGCUGAUGUGGAAGAAGAGUCCUAGUAUUGAAUAUUUCAUUUCCAAAUGCAGUGCAAGGGGGGAGAAAAAAAACCUAACAAAAAUCUCUGCAACCAUCUAAUAAAAGUGAAGAUCGAAAAAAUUGCCUGAAAGUA
rnacentral:lncRNA from 1 species